UUCAUGAAGCUGGAAUUGCUAGUAAUGGCAGGUCAGCAUACUGCCGUGAAUACGUUCCCGGGCCUUGUACACACCGCCCGUCACACCAUGAGAGUUGGAGAUACCCGAAGCCUGUGAGCUAACUGUAAAGAGGCAGCAGUCGAAGGUAGAGCCAAUGAUUGGGGUGAAGUCGUAACAAGGUAUC
rnacentral:rRNA from 1 species